rnacentral:rRNA from 1 species
UACAGAGGUCUCAAGCGUUGUUCGGAUUCAUUGGGCGUAAAGGGUGCGUAGGCGGCGCGGUAAGUCGGGUGUGAAAUCUCGGAGCUUAACUCCGAAACUGCAUUCGAUACUGCCGUGCUUGAGGACUGGAGAGGAGACUGGAAUUUACGGUGUAGCGGUGAAAUGCGUAGAUAUCGGGAGGAACACCAGUAGCGAAGGCGGCACUCUGGGCCGGUACUGACGCUGAGGAGCGAAAGCGUGGGGAGCAAACAGG